AUGCCCACUUUAGGGGCACACAUACUAAAAUUGGAAUAGAGAGCAGAGCAUAAAAUUAGCAUGGCCCUUCACAAGAAUGACACACAAAUUCAUAAAGAGUGGCAUACUUCU